UGUCUAAUGGGAGCUUUAAGAGAGUCACCCUGUAUGAUGCCGAGUGGCGAUGGAGAUCACCUUGGAGACACCUAAGCCUGGAUCAGACGGACCGCUAAUCCGCCGAUAUGUUGAGGCUGCACGCCAGACUUGGCCACUAUCAGGCCCCUGAAAGUGUAUACAAAUUAUGUGUUCACUGGGAGGGGUGGGGCAAAGGGGGGAAAUGGCUAAAAUAGUUCGUGUGCUCCAGCUUAGAGGUCGCGUCAGUUGCAAAGAAAUCUGUAAAGUUAAAGGAAUCUGUCACACAUUUUGCUAAAAGUAAAGAAGGUUCACUUAAAAAUAAUCGACGUGCGCACACUUCUCUUUUUAAUUCUUUGAUUUAUCAACAGUCGAUUAUUUUGCUGUCGUUGCGGUUUUUGGCGACAUUUUGUUUUAAUGUGUUUUAAAGACUUCAGAAAACGAUUUAACGUGAUUUUUUGGAUGUUUUUGUGAUCAAACAUCUCUACUUUUAUAUGGAUCUUUUAUUUGAAUCUAGUGUAUAGUGUGAAUGACAAUGUUUUAAUGAAGGAUGAAUCAACUUAAGGCAAAUUAAGAUAUUAAUAUAAUCAUAUUACACCAAGAAGGAUCACACAAACUUAGGAGAUGAAGACCGUCCUUGGAGAUGAUAACGGUUCUUGGGAUGUAAUUGAAAAUCCCAUGAAGACGAGUUAAAUAUAAUGUGCAGUAAUUAAUAGGUAUAUCAUAAUAAUAAAUAAAUUUAUUGUAGUUGCGAAGCUAGUAUUUUGUGAAAGCAGGGAGUUUAGGACUUGCUAUGGUUCAAGGUUUUCAAAUUCGCCAUGUCCCUCUAUGUCUUAAUCUUUUAUGUUGUUUUACACAAUGUUAUAACGCCUAUGCCUGUUAAAAAAACAAGGUUUGUCCUUUUUGUGAUUGCUUAAUUUAGAAACUAAGCGAAAAAACGUAUUCUACAA